AUUGAACGCUGGCGGCAUGCCUUACACAUGCAAGUCGAACGGUAACAGGUUAAGCUGACGAGUGGCGAACGGGUGAGUAAUAUAUCGGAACGUGCCCCGUCGUGUGGGAUAACGUAGCGAAAGCUACGCUAAUACCGCAUACGAUCUACGGAUGAAAGCGGGGGAUCGCAAGACCUCGCGCGAUUGGAGCGGCCGAUAUCAGAUUAGGUAGUUGGUGGGGUAAAGGCCCACCAAGCCAACGAUCUGUAGCUGGUCUGAGAGGACGACCAGCCACACUGGAACUGAGACACGGUCCAGACUCCUACGGGAGACAGCAGUGGGGAAUUUUGGACAAUGGGCGAAAGCCUGAUCCAGCCAUUCCGCGUGCAGGAUGAAGGCCCUCGGGUUGUAAACUGCUUUUGUACAGAACGAAAAGGUUUCUACUAAUACUAGGAGCUCAUGACGGUACUGUAAGAAUAAGCACCGGCUAACUACGUGCCAGCAGCCGCCGUAA
rnacentral:rRNA from 1 species